rnacentral:rRNA from 1 species
GACGAACGCUGGCGGCGUGCCUAAUACAUGCAAGUAGAACGCACAGUUUAUACCGUAGCUUGCUACACCAUAGACUGUGAGUUGCGAACGGGUGAGUAACGCGUAGGUAACCUGCCUGGUAGCGGGGGAUAACUAUUGGAAACGAUAGCUAAUACCGCAUAAUAUUCAUUAUUGCAUGAUAAUUAAUUGAAAGGUGCAAUUGCACCACUACCAGAUGGACCUGCGUUGUAUUAGCUAGUAGGUGAGGUAACGGCUCACCUAAGCGACGAUACAUAGCCGAACUGAGAAGGGGGUCGGCCAAACUGGGACUGAGACACGGCCCAGAAUCCUACGGGAGGCAGCAGUAGGGAAUCUUCGGCAAUGGACGAAAGGCUGACCGAGCAACGCCGCGUGAGUGAAGAAGGUUUUCGGAUCGUAAAGAUCUGUUGUAGGAGAAGAACGGGUGUGAGAGUGGAAAGUUCACACUGUGACGGUAUCUUACCAGAAAGGGACGGCUAACUACGUG